GGGAUGAUGUGGCACUGACCGGCUCCUCCAGGGUGACCAAGCGCCAGGCUCCUCCGUCCAGGACCCAGAGAGGGGUGACUGGCUCUCCGGGGGUGUUUCCUGAUGUGAGGACAGAGCACAGGACCCCAUCAUCAAAGACCUGGAAUAGCAGCAACUCCAGGAGCUUCCUUCCUCCAAGAAGCCCUCCCUGAUUGGAUGACCCCUGGCACGAGCCUCCAGGAAGAGGACGUGAACUCACUGGAUCAUGGAGAGGAAUGUACCUGGAGCAAAAAGAAGGAUGCUGAUGACAUCGUGUCGGCUCCCUAAGGGUGGGGAAGCGGAUGGGGGCAUCCCUUCUUCCAGGGACCAGAUCUGGCACAAGACUUCUGCUCAGGCAACCCCACUGCCUGGCAUGCCCUCUCCCUAGGGACCAUCAAACCUUCUUGAUUUCCUCAGUCUUAAUGUUUGAGAUGGACUGCCUCCUCCAGGAAGCCCAUGACCAGGGCAUGCCCUUCAGCAGAUUGGCACUGAGAUAGAAUGUGCCCUGCUGGCAAGCAUUCUCAUCAAUGUCAAAAGUCUCAGGGAUGAAUCUAUUGUUGGGAAUAGAAUAAAAAACUAUAUUUCCCAGAA